rnacentral:rRNA from 1 species
UACGUAGGGUGCGAGCGUUUGUCCGGAAUUACUGGGCGUAAAGAGCUUGUAGGUGGUUUGUCGCGUUGUUCGUGAAAUCUCACGGCUCAACUGUGAGCGUGCGGGCGAUACGGGGCAGACUAGAGUACUGCAGGGGAGACUGGAAUUCCUGGUGUAGCGGUGGAAUGCGCAGAUAUCAGGAGGAACACCGGUGGCGAAGGCGGGUCUCUGGGCAGUAACUGACGCUGAGAAGCGAAAGCGUGGGGAGCGAACAGG